AUUCGGCGUGGAUUAGGCAUGCAAGUCGAACGUGAAGCUGUUGAUCAAUUCUUCGGAAGAGUGACUCAGUGGAAAGUGGCGAAAGGGUGAGUAACGCGUGGGCAAUUUGCCUUUAAGUUGGGGACAACCUUCCGAAAGGAGGGCUAAUACCGAAUGUGGUCCUCUGUCGCAUGACAGGGUGACUAAAGGUGGGGAUUCUUCGGAACCUGCCGCUUGAAGAGAAGCCCGCGUGCCAUCAGCUUGUUGGUGAGGUAAUGGCUCACCAAGGCUUACGGCUAGCUGGUCUGAGAGGAUGAUCAGCCACACUGGGACUGAGACACUGCCCAGACUCCUACGGGAGGCUGCAGUCGAGGAUCAUUCGCAAUGCCCGAAAGG
rnacentral:rRNA from 1 species